rnacentral:rRNA from 1 species
UACGUAGGGUGCGAGCGUUGUCCGGAAUUACUGGGCGUAAAGCGCACGUAGGCGGCUUUGUAAGUAAGAGGUGAAAGCCCAGAGCUCAACUCUGGAAUUGCCUUUUAGACUGCAUCGCUUGAAUCAUGGAGAGGUCAGUGGAAUUCCGAGUGUAGAGGUGAAAUUCGUAGAUAUUCGGAAGAACACCAGUGGCGAAGGCGGCUGGCUGGACAUGUAUUGACGCUGAGGUGCGAAAGCGUGGGGAGCAAACAGG